rnacentral:lncRNA from 10 species
GUGAUUCAUUCGGCACCGCCUCCCCAGCCCGCGCGCGGACUUGGAGCCAAGAGUGGGAGCAGGGGUCGGGGGGAGGAGAAGGUGGAGGAGGAGGCGAAGAGGAGGCGGGGAGGAGGCGGGGAGGAGGGGGGAAGGGUUCGGGGAGAGGGAGGAGGGGAAGCAGAGGGGACGAUGAGUUGACUUUUGCUGAUGGAGCCUCUCUGAAGGGCAAAUUCAAAGUACAGCUGGGUGCUGCAGCACUGGAGUGCGAACUUGUGGCUGUGGUUAUGAAGGAGCCUCGUCAGCUAUGCCUUUAGCCCCUGGUGAAGCAGUGCCAGUCACACUUUGCCAGUCAAACGGAGAGGCAGCAGUAGUAAGACCAGACCAAAUCAAACCAAACCAAGCAAACCACGGGGAAUGGAGGUCAUGUGAGCACACAGCAUAAAGGCAGCUGCCCACAAGCCAGGAAGAGAAGCAUCAUCAGAAACCGACCAUACUGGCUUCCUGAUCUCAGACUUUCAGCCUCCAGAAUGGAUAUAUUUGGCAUUAAACUCGGGACAAAAGAAGACACAAACUUUAUCUUGUGGUUUGGGUCCUCCAAUCCUCAUAAAAGUGUGGUUUCACCUGUUACCUCAUAAAGGUGCCAUUGCUGUAUGCACAUCUGAAUCUGUUUACAAUUUGAGAAUAGAGAUUAUUGCCUGCUCCUCCAAGCCCUUCACUGUAGAAUGGAAGCCUGUGAUUUUCCUGGCAUCAUGCAUGACUGAGAAGGUCAGUGUGGCUAAUUCUGAGCUUCAACAUCAGGAAACCCGUAGUUCUUCACACUGAGCCGCCUCCUGCAGCACAGUCAUCCUUGGUAAUAAAGCUGAUAUUUUAAUCAAUAUCUGUCUUACUCUUUCAUCUUGUCCCUCAUUUGGUUUAGAAUUCAGGUGGGGAAAACAAUUGUUUACUUUAUCGGACUCCUAACCAUGUGCUUG